AGUCGUAACAAGGUUUCCGUAGGUGAACCUGCGGAAGGAUCAUUAUGAAUUAAUAAUAUUUGUGAAUUUACCACAGCAAACAAAAAUCAUACAAUCAAUACWUAAAUAAUUAAAACUUUUAACAAUGGAUCUCUUGGUUCUCGUAUCGAUGAAGAACGCAGCGAAACGCGAUAUUUCUUGUGAAUUGCAGAAGUGAAUCAUCAGUUUUUGAACGCACAUUGCACUUUGGGGUAUCCCCCAAAGUAUACUUGUUUGAGCGUUGUUUCUCUCUUGGAAUUGCUUUGCUCUUCUAAAAUUUCGAAUCAAAUUCGUUUGAAAAACAACACUAUUCAACCUCAGAUCAAGUAGGAUUACCCGCUGAACUUAAGCAUAUCAAUAA
rnacentral:misc_RNA from 1 species